AAAGGAUUGCAAGGCGACGCUUUACAUCCAAUCGAUGGUUGAUGCGACUAAUUUUGACAUAAUCACUCAUGUUGAAUCUUCGAAAGAGGCAUGGAAUAUUCUUGUCAAGUACUAUGAGGAGACGAGAAAGUCAAGGUUAUCAAGUUGCAAACUUUGCAUUGACAAUAUGAAUUAUUAUCGAUGAGAGAAGACGAAAAGAUUGCAGGCUGUGUGUUUGAAGGUGCAAAAACUAGUCAAUCUC
rnacentral:lncRNA from 1 species